AUGCCCCUUUCCAAAAGUGAUCACCACUCAAUGAGGCAGUUUCUGAAGGAGAAAGUCAUCAAUGGAAGUGCCAUCCCUGGAUACCACCAGCUACAGGAAAAGUACUUGGGAGAUGUCUACCUGAAGGUGAAGGAAGAACUCAAGCAACAUCUUGCAGGGAAGCCAGUGGCAGUCAUCUUUGAUGAAACUCCAGAUGUUGAAUUGUCUCUGAGGAAUAUGAAGAGAUGAAGAAGUGCUACGAGAAAUUGCCCAGCAGCACAAAUGCAACAACAACAACUGCCUGAUCAAGAAAAGCCUGUCUAAAAUCACAGUCAAUCUGGGAUUUGCAGGCUAAUUAGAUAAUCAUAAUGUUUUUUGUCUCAAUGUAUUUUCUCUUCUCUGUCAUAGCCUAUUUGAUAUGCACCCUUAACUAACCCAACAGUACAAUGCCUGUAUGUUUGAUAUUAGUAUUGUAAAGGUUAUGGGUAGAAGUUACUGGAUAAUGACAAACACUAGGAUAAAGGUUUGGAUCAGCAUGUUAUAAAUCUUCUAUAUUUGCUAUACUCUAUAUUAAGAGAUGUUAUUUUGUCAUUUUAAACUUUGUUGCACAGCAGUAUUUCUCAAACCCAUUGUUCUCAUGCCUGAGAGACCACUUGCCAGUCACCUGUCAGCAACAAAGGUCCCUGUGCUGGUCCAUGAACUGGAUUUGACAAAUGUUUAAAACGGUUCUACUGUUUUUUUCUUUCUUUUUCAUACAGUCAUUGUACAUGAAUAUGGAUAGGUACUGUAUCUUUGUGUGAUUUGUAACAAUGUAUAACAUUUUAUAUUGUGGAUAUAUAUAUCUAUAUCCACAAUAUAAAAUGUUAUACAUUGUUACAAAUCACACAAAUAUAUAUAUAUAUAUUUGUGUGAUUUGUAACAAUGUAUAACAUUGUCCUCCCUGUGGCUCAGUUGGUAGAGCAUGGUGUUUGCAACGCCAGCAUGGUGUGUGCAAUGCCAAGGUUGUGGGUUCGAUUCCCAUGGGGGGCCAGUACAAAAAGAAAAAAAAAAUGCAUGCUAUGUAUUCACUACUGUAAGUUGCUCUGGAUAAGAGGGUCUGCUAAAAUGUAGACAUUUUAUAUUGUAACUUAAUAAUACAUCUCUUUAGUCUGUACUAUAUUACUGGACUCUACAACAGCAUGGUGUGUUUUCUGUUGAUCAUUCAUUUCUGAUCACUCAAUGUCAUCGCUAUCUCAGUUUGAAAUGUAAAUGUUGCAUGUCAUGAUUUUUCCAGCAAUAAAAAUGACUGCCUACGGAAUAUAUUCACUCAUAUGAAUACAACACAGCCAUUUAAAUAUCAAUACUUAAUAUAAUUGGUAAAUCU
rnacentral:lncRNA from 8 species